ACAGUCGGGCGUUUCGUCGCUCGCCGAUGAACAAGCGGCGUGAGGAAAGUCCGGGCAACAUAGAGCACCACACUUUCUAACGGAAAGCUGCGGGUGACCGCAGAGUAGUGUGACAGAAAAGAACCGCCACAUCAGUGGUAAGGGUGAAAAGGCGGGGUAUGAGCCGACCGGGCUUCAUUGUGACAUGUGGUGCGGCUCAUCUUUGGGUUGCAAGGCCAUGUAUAGC
rnacentral:RNase_P_RNA from 1 species